GCCUUUUGUAAGGAGGAGCAGCUCGAGUGCGGUGCGGUCAGUAGCCCUUCAAAUUAGAAAAGUGAGGAUGAUCUUGUCAAUGCUGAGAUUUUCAUGCAUCAGCAGCCACUACAUCUGGAUCAGAUUGAACAAGAAACAGACAGCAAGGGUUGUCAGAUCAGAAACAGAAUGACACACAAACACAAGAAACUUCACAGGCAGAUCAACAUGCAAUUUGAAGACGUGUGAUAAAAUACAGAGAGGUGAAGUAGUGUGUCUUUCCAGAUGCCCAAAUCAUUCCCCCUUAAAAGAUGAGCCUGAAGAGGAGAUUUGGGAAGAUGCUGUUUCAUAAGUCGCUUUGCCAGAUCACCUGUGGUCGGGAUGUCUGCUAACAAGAUGCCUUGCUGGUCUGAGCGAGUUUAAAGUCUUACACAGACAGUCCAGAAGUUCUGAAGUCCAUCUUCGAUUUCAUUGGUAAGGGAC